rnacentral:rRNA from 1 species
UACGGAGGGUGCAAGCGUUAUCCGGAUUCCCUGGGUUUAAAGGGUGCGUAGGUGGGUUGGUAAGUCAGUGGUGAAAUCUCCGAGCUUAACUUGGAAACUGCCAUUGAUACUAUCAAUCUUGAAUAUCGCGUAGGUAAGCGGAAUAUGUCAUGUAGCGGUGAAAUGCUUAGAUAUGACAUAGAACACCAAUUGCGAAGGCAGCUGGCUAGACCUGCAUUGACGCUGAGGCACGAAAGCGUGGGGAGCGAACAGG